GCUUACGGCCAUACCACCCUGAACACGCCCGAUCUCGUCUGUUCUCGGAAGCUAAGCAGGGUCGGGCCUGGUCAGUACUUGGAUGGGAGACCGCCUGGGAAUACCAGGUGCUGUAAGCU
rnacentral:rRNA from 1 species